AGUGAACGCUGGCGGUAGGCCUAACACAUGCAAGUCGAACGGCAGCACAGUAAGAGCUUGCUCUUACGGGUGGCGAGUGGCGGACGGGUGAGGAAUACAUCGGAAUCUACUUUUUCGUGGGGGAUAACGUAGGGAAACUUACGCUAAUACCGCAUACGACCUACGGGUGAAAGCAGGGGAUCUUCGGACCUUGCGCGAUUGAAUGAGCCGAUGUCGGAUUAGCUAGUUGGCGGGGUAAAGGCCCACCAAGGCGACGAUCCGUAGCUGGUCUGAGAGGAUGAUCAGCCACUCUGGAACUGAGACACGGUCCAGACUCCUACGGGAGGCAGCAGUGGGGAAUAUUGGACAAUGGGCGCAAGCCUGAUCCAGCCAUACCGCGUGGGUGAAGAAGGCCUUCGGGUUGUAAAGCACUUUGUUGGGAAAGAAAAGCAGCAGGUUAAUACCCCGCUGUUCUGACGGUACCCAAAGAAUAAGCACCGGCUAACUUCGUG
rnacentral:rRNA from 1 species